UACGGAGGGAGCUAGCGUUGUUCGGAAAUACUGGGCGUAAAGCGCACGUAGGCGGCGCAGCAAGUCAGGGGUGAAAUCCCGGGGCUCAACCCCGGAACUGCCCUUGAAACUGCAGUGCUAGAAUUCUGGAGAGGCGAGUGGAAUUCCGAGUGUAGAGGUGAAAUUCGUAGAUAUUCGGAAGAACACCAGUGGCGAAGGCGACUCGCUGGACAGACAUUGACGCUGAGGUGCGAUAGCGUGGGGAGCAAACAGG
rnacentral:rRNA from 1 species